CCUACGGGGGGCAGCAGUAGGGAAUUUUGCGCAAUGGGCGAAAGCCUGACGCAGCAACGCCGCGUGAUCGAGACGCCCUUCGGGGUGUAAAGAUCUGUCAGUGGGGACGAAACUUGACGGUACCCACAGAGGAAGCACCGGCUAACUCCGUGCCAGCAGCCGCGGUAAUACGGGGGGUGCAAGCGUUGUCCGGAAUCAUUGGGCGUAAAGAGUUCGUAGGCGGCACGUAAAGUCUGGUGUGAAAGGCCGAGGCUCAACUUCUGUACGGCACUGGAUACUUGCGAGCUAGAGUGCGGUAGAGGUAAAGGGAAUGCCUGGUGUAGCGGUGAAAUGCUUAGAUAUCAGGAGGAACAUCGGUGGCGUAGGCGCUUUACUGGGCCGUAAUUGACGCUGAGGAACGAAAGCCAGGGUAGCAAAUGGGAUUAGAUACCCUAGUAGUC
rnacentral:rRNA from 1 species